GAUGAACGCUGGCGGCGUGCCUAAUACAUGCAAGUCGAGCGAACAGAUGAGGAGCUUGCUCCUCUGACGUUAGCGGCGGACGGGUGAGUAACACGUGGAUAACCUACCUAUAAGACUGGGAUAACUUCGGGAAACCGGAGCUAAUACCGGAUAAUAUAUUGAACCGCAUGGUUCAAUAGUGAAAGACGGUUUUGCUGUCACUUAUAGAUGGAUCCGCGCCGCAUUAGCUAGUUGGUAAGGUAACGGCUUACCAAGGCAACGAUGCGUAGCCGACCUGAGAGGGUGAUCGGCCACACUGGAACUGAGACACGGUCCAGACUCCUACGGGAGGCAGCAGUUGGGAAUCUUCCGCAAUGGGCGAAAGCCUGACGGAGCAACGCCGCGUGAGUGAUGAAGGUCUUCGGAUCGUAAAGCUCUGUUAUUAGGGAAGAACAAAUGUGUAAGUAACUGUGCACGUCUUGACGGUACCUAAUCAGAAAGCCACGGCUAACUACGUG
rnacentral:rRNA from 1 species